CGAACGAUGAUCUCCCGCUUGCGGGGGUGAUUAGUGGCGAACGGGUGAGUAAUACGUGAGUAACCUGCCCUUGACUCUGGGAUAAGCCUGGGAAACCGGGUCUAAUACUGGAUACGACCCCCUGUCGCAUGGUGGGGGGUGGAAAGGGUUUGACUGGUUUUGGAUGGGCUCACGGCCUAUCAGCUUGUUGGUGGGGUAAUGGCUCACCAAGGCGACGACGGGUAGCCGGCCUGAGAGGGUGACCGGCCACACUGGGACUGAGACACGGCCCAGACUCCUACGGGAGGCAGCAGUGGGGAAUAUUGCACAAUGGGCGGAAGCCUGAUGCAGCGACGCCGCGUGAGGGAUGACGGCCUUCGGGUUGUAAACCUCUUUCAGCAGGGAAGAAGCCACAAGUGACGGUACCUGCAGAAGAAGCGCCGGCUAACUACGUGCCAGCAGCCGCGGUAAUACGUAGGGCGCAAGCGUUGUCCGGAAUUAUUGGGCGUAAAGAGCUCGUAGGCGGUUUGUCGCGUCUGCUGUGAAAGCCCGGGGCUCAACCCCGGGUCUGCAGUGGGUACGGGCAGACUAGAGUGCAGUAGGGGAGACUGGAAUUCCUGGUGUAGCGGUGAAAUGCGCAGAUAUCAGGAGGAACACCGAUGGCGAAGGCAGGUCUCUGGGCUGUUACUGACGCUGAGGAGCGAAAGCAUGGGGAGCGAACAGGAUUAGAUACCCUGGUAGUCCAUGCCGUAAACGUUGGGCACUAGGUGUGGGGGACAUUCCACGUUCUCCGCGCCGUAGCUAACGCAUUAAGUGCCCCGCCUGGGGAGUAC
rnacentral:rRNA from 1 species